UGGGGAAUAUUGCGCAAUGGGGGAAACCCUGACGCAGCAACGCCGCGUGCGGGAUGAAGGCCUUCGGGUUGUAAACCGCUUUCAGCAGGGAAGACAUCGACGGUACCUGCAGAAGAAGCCCCGGCUAACUACGUGCCAGCAGCCGCGGUAAUACGUAGGGGGCGAGCGUUAUCCGGAUUCAUUGGGCGUAAAGCGCGCGCAGGCGGUUGCUCAAGCGGAACCUCUAAUCUCGGGGCUUAACCUCGAGCCGGGUUCCGAACUGGACGACUCGAGUGCGGUAGAGGCAGAUGGAAUUCCCGGUGUAGCGAUGGAAUGCGCAGAUAUCGGGAAGAACACCAACGGCGAAGGCAGUCUGCUGGGCCGUCACUGACGCUGAGGCGCGAAAGCUGGGGGAGCGAACAGG
rnacentral:rRNA from 1 species